ACGGUUCAUCCCUCGGCUCCGCUUGCUUUCACUACGUCGCUCCCCUACGGUUUCUCUCGUGGGUUCUUCCCUCUCUCGCUUCUCACGGGGUCUCUCGCUUGGUUUUCUCGCCUAGCAACAAGGUAAUAGCUAGUAUCCUGUAUAGCUGNUUUCCUGAUUACAGGAUAAAACUGCUUUUCAUGAGGUCAUACCUGUUUGCCAUUACGAUUCUUAUAUUCUUGGCAGACGANCGAGUAACACGUACUUAACUUGCCCUUGAGAUGGGAACAACUGCAGAGAUGUAGCUAAUUCCCAAUAUGCUCACGAUGGUGAAAUCCCAAUGUGAGGAAAGAUUUAUCGCUCAAGGAGAGGGGUGCGUCCUAUCAGGUAAUUGGUAAGGUAACCGCUUACCAACCUUAUUACGGGUGGCUGGUUUGAGAUGAUGAUCGGCCCGCAAUGGGAUUGAGAUACGGCCCAUAAUCCUACGGGAGGCAGCAGUGGGGAAUAUUGCACAAUGAAGGAAAGUUUGAUGCAGCGAUUCUGCGUGGAGGAUGAAGCAUUACGGUGUGUAAACUCCUUUUCUGGUAGAAGACGAAUGACGGUAUACCAGGAAUAAGGGACGGCUAACUAUGUGCCAGCAGCCGCGGUAAUACAUAGGUCCCAAGCGUUAUCCGGAUUUACUGGGCGUAAAGUGUCCGUAGCCUGACAUAUAAGUCUGUUUUCAAAUACUGUGGCUUAACCAUAGGAAGGGAAUAGAUACUGUAUGUCUGGAAGUUGUUGGGGGUUAGUGGAAUUUCCGGUGGAGCGGUGAAAUGCGUUGAUAUCGGAAAGAACGCCGAAAGCGAAAGCAGCUAA
rnacentral:rRNA from 1 species